UUGGUGUGCACCUGGGUUGAUGGCCGGACCGUCGAUUCCCUAACGAUUGCGAACACCUGAAUGAAGCAGAAGGCUUCAUU
rnacentral:snRNA from 1 species